GUGAAAAAGAGGUGCUUUUUACUCUAGUAUUCCUUGUUCUGGGAUCACUUAAUCACUAUUUCGAUGAUGAAGGAACUCUGAACUCCUAAGCAAACCAUGCCAUGACAUACUUUAUAUAUAUGCACAAAAGUUGGAUAAAACACAAAACCAGCAUUUUGACAAAUUCACUUUAAAAUGUUUUCCACAUCAACUACUUAAAAGAAGUUACAGCAAUAUGAUCUUCCACUGCUCAGGAAGACAGAGUGAACUUGGAUAUGAUGAAUAUUAAAAACAAACAUACAGAGCACCUGGGUCUGGACUUGUGGGCUAAAGAAAUGCUUCCUGAAUUUGUCCGAGGUGAUGUGUUGAGCAACCGUGCCACAGUUCACCAGCAGUGACACUCUAGUUCUUCAGUAUAUUCCUGUUGUGAACCUAUUUCUUUGAAUUUAAUCAUCUGGGAUGAUUGCUGCAGUGUGAGUCUUUAGCAUUUUGAAAAUCCCACAGAAGAGAUUAAGAAGGUUCCUCUUCCCAGAAGACACUCAUAUAAAGCAUGCUUCUAUAGGGUUAACUGUUCAGAAAUUGUAAGGUGCAUGGUCAUCACCAGGUAAGCAGCUCUACAGGGGCCCAUGGCCCAUACUCAUCCUUGCGUGCCCAGGGGAGCCAGCGUGCAUAUGAGCAGUAGGGAAGUGGCAUAACAACGCAGAAGGGCUCAGGACAACUUGGCAUUUUUGUUGUUGUUAAACUCAGGCUUAUCAAGAGUCAUAAGGACUCAUCUCAGUUUGUAUAUACACCUUCAGACCCAUACAGAUAGAUGCAUAAGAAUAUGAUCAUUUCUGUUCUUCACAGAGUACUCAGAAUUCUGACAAGAAACAUCACAAGUUUAUAUAAAUGCCCAUUUGCAUAGCAGCUUACAAAUUCAAUAGUUGUCAGAGGCUUGACGCGGUGGGUCAUGCCUGUAAUCUCAGCACUUUGGGAUUACAGGCAUGAGCCACAGCGCCUGGCCUCUUCAAAUCAGUUUUAAGUCAACGCUAGUUCUUCCUCCUGUCAAGCACAUUUCCAUGCUGCCUCCAAUCACGGACUGGCUGCCAUGGGCAGGAGGAAUGCCACCUGAUUUUAAUUUCAGCCCAUACAAAUUUGUUGCCCUCAAAACCAUAGACUACAUUUGCAAGAAGAAAUGGUUGCUUUUUCCCUAAUCAUUAAAAUAUUUUUUUUUGUAGACUGCCUAUAUUACAGUAAAAGCAAAUGUUUGUUAGGUGUUCAAGGUGAUCCAUGCAGUUUAACUAAAUAUUUAUCAUCAAUUUUCAUUCGGGUUAGGGUUGGCUUCUUUGGUGACAGGCUGUCCUAAAUAAGGUUCCGGAGAAUAACUCCCCCAGCCAUCCCAAGCUCUGGUGCUGAGGCAAGUUCUAGAAUACAAACCAACUGGAGAUUUGGGCCUGACUGUAAAGAUCAUUUUUAGAGCUAGAAAGCAAUUCUGCUUUUUUUUUUUUUUUUUUUUUUGAGACAGGGUCUCACUCUGUUGCCCAGGCUGGAGUACAAUGGCAUGACCUUGGCUCACUGCAAUCUCUGCCUCCCUGGCUCAAGGGAUUCUCCCACCUCAGCCUCCCAAGGAGCUGGGACUACAGGGUGCGCCACCACACCUGGCUGAUUUUUGUAUUUUUUGGUAGAGACAGGGUUUCAAUAUGUUGCCCAAGCUGGACAAUUGUGCUCAUGCACAAGAAAGGUAAACCCUAUUCUUUUUGCAGCCAAGACAACCUCUGGUUUGAUAUGUGACAAAUUUAUAG
rnacentral:lncRNA from 10 species